CGACUUGGCUCAAUGGUAGAGCAACGGUUUUGUAAACCGUAGGUUGUAGGUUCGAUUCCUAUAG
rnacentral:tRNA from 1 species